rnacentral:rRNA from 1 species
GACGAACGCUGGCGGCGUGCUUAACACAUGCAAGUCGAACGGAAAGGCCCUUCGGGGUACUCGAGUGGCGAACGGGUGAGUAACACGUGGGUGAUCUGCCCUGCACUUUGGGAUAAGCCUGGGAAACUGGGUCUAAUACCGAAUAGGACCACGCGCUUCAUGGUGUGUGGUGGAAAGCUUUUGCGGUGUGGGAUGGGCCCGCGGCCUAUCAGCUUGUUGGUGGGGUAAUGGCCUACCAAGGCGACGACGGGUAGCCGGCCUGAGAGGGUGACCGGCCACACUGGGACUGAGAUACGGCCCAGACUCCUACGGGAGGCAGCAGUGGGGAAUAUUGCAUAAUGGGCGCAAGCCUGAUGCAGCGACGCCGCGUGAGGGAUGACGGCCUUCGGGUUGUAAACCUCUUUCAAUAGGGACGAAGCGCAAGUGACGGUACCUAUAGAAGAAGCACCGGCCAACUACGUG